rnacentral:rRNA from 1 species
CAGCAGCCGCGGGAAUACGAAGGGGGCUAGCGUUGUUCGGAUUAACUGGGCGUAAAGGGUGCGUAGGCGGGUUUUUAAGUCAGAGGUGAAAUCCUGGAGCUCAACUCCAGAACUGCCUUUGAUACUGAAAGUCUUGAGUAUGGGAGAGGUGAGUGGAACUGCGAGUGUAGAGGUGAAAUUCGUAGAUAUUCGCAAGAACACCAGUGGCGAAGGCGGCUCACUGGCCCAUCACUGACGCUGAGGCACGAAAGCGUGGGGAGCAAACAGGAUUAGAUACCCCCGUAGUCCCUGUCUCUUAUAC